UGCAUAAAUCCACAAUCGGAGGAAAAGAAACCAACCGGGAUUGCCUUAGUAACGGCGAGUGAAGCGGCAAAAGCUCAAAUUUGAAAUCUGGUACCUUCGGUGCCCGAGUUGUAAUUUGGAGAGGGCAACUUUGGGGCCGUUCCUUGUCUAUGUUCCUUGGAACAGGACGUCAUAGAGGGUGAGAAUCCCGUGUGGCGAGGAGUGCGGUUCUUUGUAAAGUGCCUUCGAAGAGUCGAGUUGUUUGGGAAUGCAGCUCUAAGUGGGUGGUAAAUUCCAUCUAAAGCUAAAUAUUGGCGAGAGACCGAUAGCGAACAAGUACAGUGAUGGAAAGAUGAAAAGAACUUUGAAAAGAGAGUGAAAAAGUACGUGAAAUUGUUGAAAGGGAAGGGCAUUUGAUCAGACAUGGUGUUUUGUGCCCUCUGCUCCUUGUGGGUAGGGGAAUCUCGCAUUUCACUGGGCCAGCAUCAGUUUUGGUGGCAGGAUAAAUCCAUAGGAAUGUAGCUUGCCUCGGUAAGUAUUAUAGCCUGUGGGAAUACUGCCAGCUGGGACUGAGGACUGCGACGUAAGUCAAGGAUGCUGGCAUAAUGGUUAUAUGCCGCCCGUCUUAACCCCCGGGACCAA
rnacentral:rRNA from 1 species